GCAGCGUUGUUAACGGCUUUUUGAUAGCCAAAUUGCAGCUUGCUGUCUGGCCAAGAAACAUGGGCAAUAGUGCACCGAUCGAGUUACAAUUUUCGAAAACUAAUUGUUACGGACGAGCAGGGUUUGUGCCCUCUGGAAUCUUCUUAUAGGGAACAAUGUCGCAAAGCAACACGUUAUCCUCGAUCGCCGCCCGCUGGGCAGAUGGAGAUUCAAGGACCC